rnacentral:rRNA from 4 species
UUUAUGGAGAGUUUGAUCCUGGCUCAGGAUGAACGCUGGCGGCGUGCCUAAUACAUGCAAGUCGAGCGAACAGAUAAGGAG